CCGGCGCACGGGUGCGUAACGCGUAUGCAACCUACCAUCAACAGGGGGAUAACACUGAGAAAUUGGUACUAAUACCCCAUAAUAUCUCAUGCGGCAUCGCAUGGGGUUGAAAACUCCGGUGGUUGAUGAUGGGCAUGCGUUGUAUUAGCUGGUUGGUGAGGUAACGGCUCACCAAGGCGACGAUACAUAGGGGGACUGAGAGGUUAACCCCCCACAUUGGUACUGAGACACGGACCGAACUCCUACGGGAGGCAGCAG
rnacentral:rRNA from 1 species